rnacentral:rRNA from 1 species
CGGGGUGAGUAACGCGUGGGUAACCUGCCUCAUACAGGGGGAUAACAGUUAGAAAUGGCUGCUAAUACCGCAUAAGCGCACAGCUUCGCAUGGAGCAGUGUGAAAAACUCCGGUGGUAUGAGAUGGACCCGCGUCUGAUUAGCUUGUUGGUGGGGUAACGGCCUACCAAGGCAACGAUCAGUAGCCGACUUGAGAGAGUGAUCGGCCACAUUGGGACUGAGACACGGCCCAAACUCCUACGGGAGGCAGCAUG